GCUGUCUUCAGCAGGCAGCACUAAAAUUGGAAAGAUACAGAGAAGAUUAGCAUGGCCCCUGCACAAGGAUGACACACAAAUUCAAGGAGCGUUCCAUAUUUUU
rnacentral:snRNA from 1 species